rnacentral:rRNA from 1 species
AUUGAUAUGGGUAGGGGAGCAUUGUAACAACGUAGAAGGUGUAUUGCGAGGUACAUUGGAGUGGUUACAAAAGAAAAUGUAGGCAUAAGUAACGAUAAUGCGGGCGAGAAACCCGCACACCGAAAGACCAAGGUUUCCUCAGCUAUGCUAAUCAGCUGAGGGUUAGUCGGGUCCUAAGGCGAACCCGAAAGGGGUAGUCGAUGGCCAAGCAGUUAAUAUUCUGCUACUUGCCCCACGUUAAA